rnacentral:tRNA from 1 species
AGGCCUUAUAGUUGUAAUCAAUAUCUAGUUGCAGCCUAGAAGAUGGGGCUUUCCCUGGGGCUUA